CCAAAGGCUCUUUUCAGAGCCACCCACUUUUUCGAAAGAGAGCUAU
rfam:Equus caballus chromosome 20, whole genome shotgun sequence.